rnacentral:lncRNA from 1 species
UGGUGACGUUCCUCCAUUUCAGUACUUAUAGUAUUUCAGAUUCAGAUCUGGUUAACAUGUCUGAUACCAAGCGUAAGCAAUACCUGAAGCCUGAAAAUGCAUUUGUGCGCCCGAAAGCGACUGCCUGGUGCAGAAAAACGAAGAAAAGCAAAGAAACUGCGGACGAAACCGAGGACACCUCAUCUGCUUCCCAAAGAACCUGGGCCCUCUAACCAUCUGCUGUAUCAGGAAACUUAAAGGGUCAGCACCCAGCCAGAUGAACCAGAAGACAGCACAAUGUAUCAGGAAACCGAGUGGGUCAGCACCCAGCCAGAUGAACCAGAAGACAGC